UUCAAAUUCAACUUCUCUGGAAAUAUCCACAAUGAUACCGGCGAGGUCAAUCGGUUCUCUCUCGCAACCCUCCGUCGGAAAUGUCAACGGCGAAGAAGAAGAAGAAGAACCGGUUUCAAUGACCUGAAACGGGGGUUGAACCGGAGCUCUGCAAAGCGGGCAAGUGGAUCUGGAACGGAACCAAGUAUCGAUGCAGUCGACGUGAAAAGAGUGGCCACAUUUAGGAAGAAGACGGCCUU